UUUUAAGACUUUUAAUUUUUUUUAAUUUUUUAAAAAAUGGCUCUGGGACGAAGACAGAAGGAAAGAUCUCAAACACCAGGGAGAAGUCUCUUCCAGCCGCUUGUUUUUCUCUGCCUGCUGCUUCCUCUUGCUGCUGGGUUCACUCUGAAAGCCUGUCAAAUCAGUCGCAACGUGGCCAAAUGUGGGAAACACAAACUAACCAGCGUACCUAGAGACGUUCCUUCAACGGUGACGGGUUGGGAGCUGUUUGAAAACAAAAUUUCAAAGAUUCAACUCUCGGAUUUCAGAGAUUUUCCGAUGCUGACUCAGCUGGAACUCAACCGUAAUAUGAUUGAGCAGAUAGAGGCCAGCACCUUCUCCAGGCUGACGUCGUUGAAGAUGUUGAAUCUCAAUCAGAACAGACUCGUUAAACUUGAGGAACAUGUCUUUAGUGGACUGGUGAACCUGACGGAGCUCAGAAUCAGGCAGAACCGUAUCAAAGUCGUGGCUAACAACACGUUCCAGACGCUGAGCAGCUUAACAAUUUUAGACAUUUCUAGAAAUAACCUGCACACAAUGGCUAAAGUCCACACGAUCAUAAAGCAACUUCCACAUCUGCGUGAACUUUAUCUUGGGAGCAACGACUUCACCAGAUUCUACUCCUGGGAACUGACCAACACGUCACUGGACAUUCAACGUCUGGACUUGUCCCUGAAUCCAAUGGCAGUUUUCCACCUCACCUCCAACGUUCUUCCAAACCUCACCUUCUUCAACAUGACCAACUCUGGGUGGACGCAGCAGAUGAAACUGGACGUACAGAACCCGACGUUCUUCCAUCAAGUUUCCAUUCUGGACAUCAGUGGAAUUCACGUGAGUGUGGACGACUUAAAAACAUUACUGCAGACAGUGAACGCCUCGCUCACGUCUCUGAGGAUGAACAAGAUGAAGAGCCACCUUUCAUCCCUAAUCAACGCCUCCUGCACCAUCCCGACCUUGACCCAGCUGCUGCUCCAGAGGAACCAACUCAGCCACAUCGGCUCGGACUUCGUUUCCAUCUGCUCCAACAUCACAGACGUGGAUUUUUCCCAUAACAAUAUCAAAGAUAUCCAUGACGACGCCUUCAGAUCUCUACAGAGGUUAACAAUCCUGAACCUCAGUUACAACAAACUCCCCAGUGUUCCGGCUGCGAUCAGAACCCUGCCCUGGCUGAAAAAGUUGUACCUGAGCACCAACGGAAUAUCCAGGGUGGAACGCCAAGAUUUUGCCAAUCAGUCGAUGCUGGAGGAACUCGGCCUCAGUAAGAAUUCAAUAUCAUCUCUGAGAGGAGCCGUCUUUGAGGACCUGGUGCGGUUACAAGUCCUGAAGCUGACGGACAAUCACAUGGUCCAUUUGGACGGUGUGUUCGAGGUCCACCUGCCCAACCUCAAACAGCUGCUGCUUCAGGGAAAUGAACUGUCUUCUCUGCAGACUGGUGGUUUUGGAGGCCUGCCGUCGCUGCAGAGUUUGAAGCUACAUGACAACAAACUGAAUUCACUCCAAAAAGGCUGCUUCAAGGGACUGACUAAUCUGACAGAACUGCUGCUCCAGAACAACCAGAUCACAGAACGCGACUUGAACAACGGCUGUUUCAAUGACUUGACAAACCUGAGGAGACUGGAUCUGAGGAACAACCACAUCUACUAUAAAGACACCACAGCACUGGCUCGUCCUCCUUUUUCUCAGCUGUCUCUGCUCAGGUUGCUGUACAUUCUCUCGCAGCAUCACCACGGCAAAUCUGGCCUGCCUCGAAACUUCCUGCAGGGUUUGACAAACUUGGAGCUUUUCGACGCCAGGAACAUUCAGCUUGUGUUUCUGCAUGAAAACACUUUUAACUUCACGCCCCAGCUCCAAGAACUGGACCUCAGCUCCAACGACCUGGACGAUCUCUCACCAGACUUGUUUUCCCCGCUCCGGAACCUCAGAACACUCUACACUUCCAGGAUCAGUCUCGGAUCUUUACAAUAUCUCACGGACGCAAAGCUUCACAAGCUGGAGUUCCUGCAGGCCAGAAAAAAUCAGUUCUCUGUGAUCGACGAAGACGUCGUUAGGUCGUUACCGGCUCUGGUCUACCUGGACCUUCAGGGAAACACCUUCACCUGUGACUGUACCAAUGCCUGGUUCAUCAACUGGGUCAGAACCAACAACCAAACACAGGUUUUUGAUGCUUAUAAUUUCGGGUGUAAUUUUCCCACGGCGUCCAAAGGCAGCAAACUCCUGGACCUGGAUGUUCAGUCCUGCACCGUGGACGUGGACUACAUCCUCUUCGUCUCCACCACCAGCCUCGUCCUCCUGCUGAUGGUGACCUCCUUCACCUACCAUUUCCUAAAGGCCCACCUGGUCUACGCCUACUUUCUCUUUCUGGCUUUAGUUUUUGAUAAAAAGCAUCGAAACAAACAAAGUCCUUGUCAGUUUGACGCCUUUGUCUCCUACAACAGCCACGACGAAGCCUGGGUCGUCGGAGAGAUGCUGCCCAGGCUGGAAGGAGACCAGGGCUGGAAGCUGUGUCUGCACCACCGAGACUUUCAACCAGGCAAAGCCAUCAUUGAAAACAUAACGGACGCAAUUUAUGGAAGCAGGAAGACCAUCUGUGUCAUCAGCCGAAGAUACCUGAGGAGCGGGUGGUGUUCCAGAGAGAUCCAGCUGGCCAGUUUUCGUCUCUUCCACGAGCAGAAGGACGUCCUCAUCCUCGUCUUCCUGGAGGACAUUCCCUCGUCUGAGUUGUCUCCACACUACAUCACCAGGAAGCUGCUGAAGAAGCAGACGUACCUGAGCUGGCCUCGAGCCGCGGAACACCCACAGCGGUUCUGGCAGAAACUUGGACAGGCUCUCGGCCCCAGAGAAAACGAUCAUUUGAGUGUGCAGGUCUUGGAAGAUCAGUGACGGGAAACUGAAGCGCGCCGCCAGAGGGCACCAGAGAGUAGAAGACGAUGAAGUGACUUGAACGACACUUUCAAGAAGUGGCGAUACUUGAUUCCAAAUGUAGAUCCCUCUGUUCCAGUGUUAGUAACCUGAUGUCGUCUCCUGCGCUUUCUUCGCCCUGCUACAAUGUCAAUAUAUAUUGCUGUGCCUAAAGUACUGCAGUAUAUUGCAAUACAUCAAUACAUAUACUGGGGAUCAUUACUAUAAUACAGUAUUUGGUCUGUUUGGCGUGGAACUCUUUAAUCAACAACAAACGCAAAUGGCCAUCGAUGCAAACGAGGAAAAAAACCCAAAUCAGAUCAGAUCUCUGUGUUGGAAAUUUUUCUUCCACUAAAGGUCAGAGAAACAACGAACACACAAAAAAGAAAGGUCCCUGACUCAUUGACGUUUUGCAUUUCCACAUUUAUUGCACACACCAAAGCCAUGGUGUUUGACAACGUCACUGAAGAGUGAACAAAGGUGUGAACACACACGGAAACGACUUAAACAAAUAGUUUUACAUAUCUGCACAAAAUCAUUUACACUUUUCUCUUUAACUGCACUGAGCGUGAAUCACCCUGGAACUGAAAAGAAAUCUCUGUUAUUAUACAUUAAAUAAAUAUAUAUGUGUGUAUAUAUAUGUCUUUAUACACAUAUAUAUUCAUACACACAUAUGUAUUUAUAUAUACAUACACACACAUAUAUGUAGUCAGUAUAUUGUUUCAAGUAAAAUUAUUUUAUAAAUUAACUUUAAGGAAUUUUAAGUUUUUAAUUUUCACGUCUGGUUUAGUGCAUUGUUCUUACAGUGAAAAAAACACAUGACAUGAAUUAAUUUUAUAAACGCAAAAAAAAAAAA